rnacentral:lncRNA from 1 species
AUAACAUCGUGCCUUGGGUGUGAGAAUGUGGGACGGAGUGCCCAAAUCAAGGAAUCGCUAUUCCCUGCUCUCCUUUCCCCGCAGAUUUGUCCCCGGCUCUCCGGUUUCGUGUCCCCUCGCGGUGGCGGUGGGGCAGUGCCGGUGCCGAUGACGAUGAGAGGAAUGUUGCCCGUCCGGUUCCGCCGCGGCAACUCCGGGCCGGGCCCGCGGUGCGGCGGCUCUCAGGGGCUCUGCAGGACCGGCACUCCCGGUCCGGUCGGGGUACCUCCGUGCCCGCAUGGCUCCGCGGAGGCUGAGCGCCGCGGGGCCUCGGGGACGCCGCCAUGGCGAAGCGGGAGGCCAACGCCAGCCCGGUGGUGCGGCAGAUUGACAAACAGUUCCUGGUGUGCAGCAUCUGCCUCGACCGCUACCGCAACCCCAAGGUGCUGCCGUGCCUGCACACCUUCUGUGAGAGGUGUCUCCAGAACUAUAUCCCGCCCCAGAGCCUGACCCUGUCCUGCCCCGUGUGCCGCCAGACCUCCAUCCUGCCCGAGCGCGGCGUGGCGGCCCUGCAGAACAACUUCUUCAUCACCAACCUGAUGGAAGUGCUGCAGCGCGACCCCGACAGCCGCGGCCCCCACCCCGGCCC